rnacentral:rRNA from 1 species
GAUGAACGCUGGCGGCGUGCCUAAUACAUGCAAGUCGAGCGAACAGACGAGGAGCUUGCUCCUCUGACGUUAGCGGCGGACGGGUGAGUAACACGUGGAUAACCUACCUAUAAGACUGGGAUAACUUCGGGAAACCGGAGCUAAUACCGGAUAAUAUAUUGAACCGCAUGGUUCAAUAGUGAAAGACGGUUUUGCUGUCACUUAUAGAUGGAUCCGCGCCGCAUUAGCUAGUUGGUAAGGUAACGGCUUACCAAGGCAACGAUGCGUAGCCGACCUGAGAGGGUGAUCGGCCACACUGGAACUGAGACACGGUCCAGACUCCUACGGGAGGCAGCAGUAGGGAAUCCUCCGCAAUGGGCGAAAGCCUGACGGAGCAACGCCGCGUGAGUGAUGAAGGUCUUCGGAUCGUAAAACUCUGUUAUUAGGGAAGAACAAAUGUGUAAGUAACUAUGCACGUCUUGACGGUACCAAAUCAGAAAGCCACGGCUAACUACGUG